UACGUAGGAGGCAAGCGUUAUCCGGAUUAACUGGGCGUAAAGCGUGCGUAGGCGGUUUUGUAAGUCGCUUUUUAAAUCCUGUGGCUUAACCACAGAUUUGGAGGCGAUACUGCAUGACUUGAGGAUCGUUCGGGGUAUCGGAACAGUUGGUGUAGCGGUGAAAUGCGUUGAUAUCAACUGGAACACCGAAGGCGAAGGCAGAUACCUGGGAUUUUCCUGACGCUGAGGUACGAAAGCUAGGGUAGCGAAAGGG
rnacentral:misc_RNA from 1 species